AUUGAACGCUAGCGGCAUGCCUUACACAUGCAAGUCGAACGGCAGCGGGGGAGCUUGCUCCCGCCGGCGAGUGGCGAACGGGUGAGUAAUACAUCGGAACGUACCCAGUAGCGGGGGAUAGCCCGGCGAAAGCCGGAUUAAUACCGCAUACGCCCUACGGGGGAAAGGGGGGGAUCGCAAGACCUCUCACUAUUGGAGCGGCCGAGGGCUUAUUAGCUAGGUGGUGGGGUAAAGGCCUACCAAGGCGACGAUCAGUAGCUGGUCUGAGAGGACGACCGGCCAAACUGGGACUGGGACACGGCCCAGCCUCCUACGGGAGGCAGCAGUGGGGAAUUUUGGACAAUGGGCGAAAGCCUGAUCCAGCAAUGCCGCGUGUGCGAAGAAGGCCUUCGGGUUGUAAAGCACUUUUGUCAGGGAAGAAAUCGUUUGGGUUAAUACCCCGAGCAGUUGACGGUACCUGAAGAAUAAGCACCGGCUAACUACGUGCCAGCAGCCGCCGUAA
rnacentral:rRNA from 1 species